GGAGGGGUGGCGGAAUUGGUAGACGCGCUACCUUGAGGGGGUAGUGAUAGUAAUAUCGUGUGAGUUCGAUUCUCAUUCCCUUCA
rnacentral:tRNA from 1 species